rnacentral:lncRNA from 1 species
AAUGUUGGACCAGGGGAAUGAGAUUUUCAUAUCACCUACACCGAAUAGGUGGGAAAGAAGAUUUUAGAUUGUUAGACUCUUAGUGGCUUGAAAGGGAGAUGACCAAGCGUGGAAGGCAAAAUGAAACUAUAUGUCAAUGUUCCGCGCUACAGAAGACAUGAACCCAGAGGUAAGGAGGCACAUACUGUAUGCAACAUUGCAGAAGAAAGGAUACCACAUAAGUAUGAACCGAGAGAGGAAAAUAGACACUACAAGAAAAUGAUUGAAUGGUAACUAAUUUAGAAACUAAAAAAAAUAGUUUCUAUAGCAACUAAUUUAAAUACCAUUUUAUAAAUAAAAAUUAUUGGUUACUAAAAUGGUAUUUAUUAUUAAUAAAAAUUAUAAUAUAAUCAGAUACUAUAUUUUUGGUAGCUAAUCGAAACCAAUUUUUUAGUCUCUUGUUAAAAUAUAAUUGAAAACCAUUAUUUUAAUCACUUUUAAUCUAUUUUAGAAACUAAUUUUUAUCUCUAAAAAUAACAAAAUUAGAAACUAAUUUUGUAAUUUCUAAUCAUCAUAUUAGAUACUUAAACUUUUAGUCACUGUUAUUUGAAUUUUAGAUACUAAUUUUUGGAGUAAUUAAAUUUUAUAGAAUUAAUUAUUAAUUUAUAAAAUAUUUUAAAUUAAUAUGAAUAAAUUUACUACUUUAUUAAUUUUAGUAUAAUAUUAAAAUAAUUAAUAUCAAUUUAAAAGUUACAUUUAAAAUAGUAUUUUAAUUUUUUAUUUAAUUAUAAAAAUAAAUUAAUAAUAAUUUUAAAAUAUUAUUUAAAUUAAAAAUUUAAUAAAUUAAUUUAAAUAAAGAUACAUAUUUUUUCGAAAACUUAUUUAAUUUUUUUAAAAUUUGAGAGUUAAUAUUCUGCAGAAUUUUGAAUUUCAAAGUUUAUCUCUCUUUAACUUUCUACUCAUCUCUCACUCUCAGCAACACUCUACAACCGCAGCACCUUGUGACGUCACCCUGCGACGGCAACCUGCGAUGGCAAUGCACUCGCGACGGCAAUGCAUCCUGCGUCAGCAACGCACCCGCAGCGACAACGCACCCGCAACGAGAAUGCACCCGCGACAGCAACACACCCGUAACCGUAACGCACUCGCGACGACAACGCACCCGACGACAACACACUCUGCUUAUCAUCGUAAGUUUCAUUCUUCCAUUAAUUCAUGCUCCAUUUUCGAUCUUUGUCUUUUAUUUUUUUUCUUGCUCAUCGAAGCUUCACAACUUUACUCACUGUAUCCUCCCCAUCUUAAAACCCUAAAUUAUGUUAUCAUGUUGUAUUUUCCAAAAAUACUCAUGGAGAGAUAGUUCUUAAGGAGAACUAAUGUAUUUUUUAAUUCUUAAGAGAAAUCAGAUUUGAUUGAAGAUACAAAUUGAUAAAAUGCACCGUCAACACUAUAUCUAUUAUGAUACAACUGUCCAUGGUGCUUCUUGGAUGUAGCCGAUUCCAUUAACAGAAAAAAAUCUCUUUUCAACUCAAUAGGAAUUAUCUUUGUUUAGUCUCUGUUAUGUUAAGUGUCGUUGUUGUGUCUGGUGUUUGUGCAGUGGUCCUGUGCUUCAUAGGUUGCUUGUCUACUGCUCUACUUCUUUUGAAUUUGUUUUCUCUUUUAUGUCACAGUAUGUGUUGUUGUGGUUUUUGAAUGUUAUAUGUUGGUCUGUCUUUAAAGUAGAAAAAUGUACUAGAGAUAUAGAGAUACCUAUUGAAGAACUGUUUAUUUUUUAGAAUUAUAUAAAUUGUUAGAUUUAAUCGUUUAUUUGUUUGAUGUGAUGAACAUUAGGUUUUUAAUUCUCUUUAAUAUUGAGUUUAUUUGAUGUGUAGAUUAAAUGUAAUUGAUGGGCUUGACAGAGCUAUUUUGACUACGAAGAAGGGUUAGGUGGCAUUGUUAAUUAUUGCG